GAGGGUGGCGAAUGACGCGAAAGCGAUGGUCUUGAAACGACCGACGUAAGCGUCUGAGAUAAAAGCGCCGACGAGAGGUGUGAGAUUGGUGAAACCAAACCAAAUGUUGAUGACAUUUGCAGCUUUGACUUGUUCUAAAUGGAACACUCUGGUUAGAUACACCAUGAAGUUUGACAACAACCCAAUCGUUCCCAGUCUCUCAAGCGUUUCAUUUCCUGUUUCAAGCCAUAUAUAUAUUAGUGUACUUCUAUUUUAAAAUUGUCAGAAAAUUUAACAAAUAAAAUGCGUUUUAAAAAUAAGGAAAAUGAAAGAUAUAUGCUUAAAAAGUUACAGUUUUUCCCCAAAUUUAAUGCUACAGUUUUCUUACCGUUUCCAUUAUACGAGUGUCAAACGAGAUGGACGAGUGUCAAACGAGAUGGACGAGUGUCAAACGAGAUGGACGAGUGUCAAACGAGAUGGACGAGUGUCAAACAUGUAACAUAUGUAAUAUGAGAUAAUUCUUCGGAGAAAAAAAAACAUAAAAACAAAAUUAUUAUAACUCUUGGUGGUGAGUUCGUGUUCCGGUUCGAAUAUUUUCAGAUUUCAGGUUAUCGAGGUUAAAUAUUUUAAUUCUAUUUGAAUAUUUCUAAUUUUUUGGGCUCAGUUUGGUUUGGUUUGGAUAAUCCGUUUAAAACUAUUUUUAUAAUGUAAAAUUCAUAUAUAGUAUACAGUUUUCAGAAUCUAAAGAUAAAAAUAAUAUGUGACAUGUAGUUGAAAUUAAGGACAUGUCAAGGAUGAAGUUAACUAAAAAAUAAACUACGUUCACGAACCAAAAAUAGAUAUACGUACCUAAAAUGAACGUGACGGCUCUCCAGCCUCCACGCUUUUUCUCAACCUUCUCAGCAUCCGAAAAAGAAUCAGACGGGCUUUCUUGAUUGUACGAAUCAACAGCAUCCAUCUUCGGCUGCGGUGGUGAAGAACCGUCCCUUCCAUCCAUCAAAACCAUCUCUAAGAUGUAUACAGGCAAAAAUACUUCGAUUUAAAGGGUGGAACUAAUGUUGGGAGAUUUGAUUCUCACUUUUUGAUGUAUAUCUAAAUAAAUAAAGGCAAUCACAUUAAGUGAUUGAUAAAUGUAGAGAGUGGGCUUAUCACUCGUACACUUUCUCUCUGUUAGAGGCUUUUUGGGGAGUAAUGUGGAAGUGUGUGUACAUAUGUAUAUAUAAGGGAGCGAGGAGAUCCAGAAUAUUAUAAGGUGGGUGUGGGUGAUAAUAUAAUAACACCAUUUAUAAAGUGUUAUUAUAGAAAAAAAUAUUUUAGAACAUCUCAAACAUUUUUAUUUUAUUUUAAAUAUUAUUAUUAAAAAAUCUACUUUAAUUCAGUUGUGUAUUAAAAUGAUUUUAUUAUAAAUUAAAUGAAUUAAUAGAAUUUAUGCUUAGAAUACAAAUAGAUACAACCACUAAUUCAAAGUAUUUAUUAAAGUAGACCAAAUUUAUUUACGUUUUCUUUACGAAAACAAUUGUAAAAUUUAUCUAGUGCAUAUAUUUGCUUAGAAUGAACCAUGUAAUCUCAUACGCCAAAACGUAAACAAAUAUAUAAAGUACCUGAAUUGGUUACUUCGGUGUAACUUGUGUAAAACGCUAUCUUUAACGGGAGGGUCAUAGUAGGUCACUGUGCCGUCAUCUUCCGCCGAGAGCUUCAUCUUUCGCUUAUUACGAGCUGCCACGAUAACUUGAGCGAUACUGGAGAAUAUACUUCCUUCAGGUUUAACAUAGAUGUAAAGCUUCAUUCCAGCGAAAAAAAUAACCAGCGCACAAGCCAUGAGUCCAGUAGGGAUACUAAAGCCGAUGAUCCAGCUGACUUGAUCCUGAAUAUACACAACGACGGUCUGUGUAAUAAGCAGAACCACAGUGAAAGUCAGGUAAUACCAGUUGAAGAAACUAGCCACUCCAUUAACACCUUCCUCUGUUCGUUGGUCAAACUGGUCAGCUCCAAAAGGGAUGCUACAUGGCCUUAUUCCUCCUGUCCCUAUUGAAAGGAAAACGAGACCUAAGAACAGAGUCCCGAACUGGAGCUUGUUCGGGCCGCUGCAACUGACUGGAUCUUUGCUAAUGCAUGUUGCUGGGUGGAGUUGAGGAAGCGAUGCUGUGAGUGUCAAUGUCACUAGUCCCUGCAGAUAAUUUAAAAUUACUGAUUAAACAUUACUAAACAACUCAUCAUUCAUUUUUGAAACUGAUUCUUCAUUAGUUAUGAUGAUCAAUACCUUGAAUUGAAUUGAUAUGAUUGUUAGUUACUUUCGAAAAUGCAAACAAUAACGUGGGAUAGAUUGAAAUUAUGCGAUCGAAUACAAACAAGCAAACAAUUAGUUAAUUAACUUAACCAUAGCCUUAAUAAGUUUUGACUUCUCAUGGUUAAAAGUAAUACUGGGAAACAAUAUUGUGGUACAGAUAUUGACGUAUGACAUCAAAUACUAACAAACAAAAAAUUAAUUAUCUUAAUUAAGACUAGCAUAAUUGGCUUUGACUUCACUUGAUAAAAUGGUGAGAUUUCUUUGAUUAGGUACCGAGUUGGCGACAAACUGAUCACGACGUAGAACCUAAUAUCAUUUUUUUUGUUUAACCUUAAUAUAAUAAUAUGAGUAGUUAAUUGUAACAAUUUAAGUUCCUUAAUUUAAUUAACUAUGAAAAACAAAAAUAAAAGAAAAUAUAGGGGAAGUUAACAAUUGUAUGCGAUAAUAAUUCUACAAUAAUUAGUGAAAAUGACUUUAGAAAAGAAAGUAUCUUAGGUUACGUCAUUGUGAUUGACCAAAUCUACACAUCUUUACUUUCAGUUAGCUAUAUCAUUUGGAAAUUCAAUUAUUGGCCAUUUUCAUUAUCAAAUCGACCACUAGUGCAUUUUCUUCCUUUACACCCUUCUCUUUAUUUCCAAGAUAAAACUCCGUUCCAUUAGAGGAUUUGUUUACUCGAAACUGUGUUACCAAUUAAUCAAAGUUAUUUUAUUCGAAAAUAGUAUCUUAAAAACAACGUUUUCUGUGAGUAGCAAAAAAAAAAAACGUUUUCUGUGAGAUAAAUAUAGUUUUCAUAUAAGGCUUUUUGGGUUUUUGUUUAUAUGAUUCACAUUAUACAUCGACCUUAUCCCUCUUGAUAACGUGGUCCCUCUAUGUUUUCAUGCUUUUACGUACAAUACAAGAGCAAUAGCUAGAAGCAAAAUACUAUACAUGGGCACUAAAUAUUAGAAGGUUUUUAAUUGGUAUUAUAGCUUUGGUUGAAUAUUUUCAUAUUAUAUAAAAGUUUGUCCUAACGUGGUGACCUUAUGCACCAAGUACCAUAUGUAUCUUCACCACAAGAUCAUAUAUAGAGUAAUAAUAUAACCGUGUUACAAAAAAAGAAGUAAUAAUAUAACCAUUUUUCUAAAUGUGAUAAAUUUAACUUCUACCUAGAGUUAGUAUCAGUUGAUAAAGUUACUAUUACUAAUAAUACUCAUACGUAGUGUGUAUUUGUAGACACAUUAGAUAAGAAUUUCAGAUAAAUAAGAAAUAAAUACGUACGAGGAGGGUGGCGAAUGACGCGAAAGCGAUGGUCUUGAAACGACCGACGUAAGCGUCUGAGAUAAAAGCGCCGACGAGAGGUGUGAGAUUGGUGAAACCAAACCAAAUGUUGAUGACAUUUGCAGCUUUGACUUGUUCUAAAUGGAACACUCUGGUUAGAUACACCAUGAAGUUUGACAACAACCCAAUCGUUCCCAGUCUCUCAAGCGUUUCAUUUCCUGUUUCAAGCCAUAUAUAUAUUAGUGUACUUCUAUUUUAAAAUUGUCAGAAAAUUUAACAAAUAAAAUGCGUUUUAAAAAUAAGGAAAAUGAAAGAUAUAUGCUUAAAAAG
rnacentral:lncRNA from 1 species